CGCUGGCGGCGUGCUUAACACAUGCAAGUCGAACGGAAAGGCCCUGCUUUUGUGGGGUGCUCGAGUGGCGAACGGGUGAGUAACACGUGAGUAACCUGCCCUUGACUUUGGGAUAACUUCAGGAAACUGGGGCUAAUACCGGAUAGGAGCUCCUGCUGCAUGGUGGGGGUUGGAAAGUUUCGGCGGUUGGGGAUGGACUCGCGGCUUAUCAGCUUGUUGGUGGGGUAGUGGCUUACCAAGGCUUUGACGGGUAGCCGGCCUGAGAGGGUGACCGGCCACAUUGGGACUGAGAUACGGCCCAGACUCCUACGGGAGGCAGCAGUGGGGAAUAUUGCACAAUGGGCGGAAGCCUGAUGCAGCAACGCCGCGUGCGGGAUGACGGCCUUCGGGUUGUAAACCGCUUUCGCCUGUGACGAAGCGUGAGUGACGGUAAUGGGUAAAGAAGCACCGGCUAACUACGUGCCAGCAGCCGCGGUGAUACGUAGGGUGCGAGCGUUGUCCGGAUUUAUUGGGCGUAAAGGGCUCGUAGGUGGUUGAUCGCGUCGGAAGUGUAAUCUUGGGGCUUAACCCUGAGCGUGCUUUCGAUACGGGUUGACUUGAGGAAGGUAGGGGAGAAUGGAAUUCCUGGUGGAGCGGUGGAAUGCGCAGAUAUCAGGAGGAACACCAGUGGCGAAGGCGGUUCUCUGGGCCUUUCCUGACGCUGAGGAGCGAAAGCGUGGGGAGCGAACAGGCUUAGAUACCCUGGUAGUCCACGCUGUAAACGGUGGGUACUAGGUGUGGGGUCCAUUCCACGGGUUCCGUGCCGUAGCUAACGCUUUAAGUACCCCGCCUGGGGAGUACGGCCGCAAGGCUAAAACUCAAAGGAAUUGACGGGGCCCCGCACAAGCGGCGGAGCAUGCGGAUUAAUUCGAUGCAACGCGUAGAACCUUACCUGGGUUUGACAUGGAUCGGGAGUGCUCAGAGAUGGGUGUGCCUCUUUUGGGGUCGGUUCACAGGUGGUGCAUGGCUGUCGUCAGCUCGUGUCGUGAGAUGUUGGGUUAAGUCCCGCAACGAGCGCAACCCUUGUUCACUGUUGCCAGCACGUUAUGGUGGGGACUCAGUGGAGACCGCCGGGGUCAACUCGGAGGAAGGUGGGGAUGACGUCAAGUCAUCAUGCCCCUUAUGUCCAGGGCUUCACGCAUGCUACAAUGGCUGGUACAGAGAGUGGCGAGCCUGUGAGGGUGAGCGAAUCUCGGAAAGCCGGUCUCAGUUCGGAUUGGGGUCUGCAACUCGACCUCAUGAAGUCGGAGUCGCUAGUAAUCGCAGAUCAGCAACGCUGCGGUGAAUACGUUCCCGGGGCUUGUACACACCGCCCGUCAAGUCAUGAAAGUUGGUAACACCCGAAGCCGGUGGCCUAACCGUUGUGGGGGAGCCGUCGAAGGUGGGACUGGUGAUUAGGAC
rnacentral:rRNA from 1 species